rnacentral:rRNA from 1 species
UACGAAGGGUGCAAGCGUUACUCGGAAUUACUGGGCGUAAAGCGUGCGUAGGUGGUUUGUUAAGUCUGAUGUGAAAGCCCUGGGCUCAACCUGGGAAUUGCAUUGGAUACUGGCAGGCUAGAGUGCGGUAGAGGAUGGCGGAAUUCCGGGUGUAGCAGUGAAAUGCGUAGAGAUCGGGAGGAACAUCUGUGGCGAAGGCGGCCAUCUGGACCAGCACUGACACUGAGGCACGAAAGCGUGGGGAGCAAACAGG